rnacentral:rRNA from 1 species
GGGUGAGUAACACGUGAGCAACCUGCCCUGGACUCUGGGAUAAGCGCUGGAAACGGCGUCUAAUACUGGAUAUGAGACGUGAUCGCAUGGUCGUGUUUGGAAAGAUUUUUCGGUCUGGGAUGGGCUCGCGGCCUAUCAGCUUGUUGGUGAGGUAAUGGCUCACCAAGGCGUCGACGGGUAGCCGGCCUGAGAGGGUGACCGGCCACACUGGGACUGAGACACGGCCCAGACUCCUACGGGAGGCAGCAGUGGGGAAUAUUGCACAAUGGGCGGAAGCCUGAUGCAGCAACGCCGCGUGAGGGAUGACGGCCUUCGGGUUGUAAACCUCUUUUAGCAGGGAAGAAGCGAAAGUGACGGUACCUGCAGAAAAAGCGCCGGCUAACUACGUGCCAGCAGCCGCGGUAAUACGUAGGGCGCAAGCGUUAUCCGGAAUUAUUGGGCGUAAAGAGCUCGUAGGCGGUUUGUCGCGUCUGCUGUGAAAUCCCGAGGCUCAACCUCGGGCCUGCAGUGGGUACGGGCAGACUAGAGUGCGGUAGGGGAGAUUGGAAUUCCUGGUGUAGCGGUGGAAUGCGCAGAUAUCAGGAGGAACACCGAUGGCGAAGGCAGAUCUCUGGGCCGUAACUGACGCUGAGGAGCGAAAGGGUGGGGAGCAAACAGGCUUAGAUACCCUGGUAGUCCACCCCGUAAACGUUGGGAACUAGUUGUGGGGACCAUU